rnacentral:rRNA from 1 species
AGUUUGAUCCUGGCUCAGGAUGCAAGCUGGCGGCCUGCCUAGCACCUGCAAUUGAAACGGCGAUUAAGACGAAGUUUUCGGAUGGAAUUUUCAUCGUCGUGGCGGACGGGUGAGUAACGCUGGGAUCACCUGCCUUUUGGCGGGGGAUAGCAGCUGGAAACCGUCUGGUGAUACCGCAUGCGCCUUUUUCUGCGCGAGAAGAGGGAAGGUGUAAAUAUAUAUUGCCUAACUAUGGAUCCUCCUCUGAUUAACCCUGUGGCGCGGUAACCGCCUACCAAACCACCAAUCCGCAGCCAGACUGAGAGGGCGGACGGCCACCUUGGGACUGACACCCCGCCCAGACUCCUACCGCACGCACCAGCGGGGGAUAUUGCACAAUGCGGGAAACCCUGAUGCAGCGACACCGCGAGACUGAAAAACUAUUUCUGUAUGUAAAGCUCUAUCAGCAGGGAAGAGACGCCCGAAAGGCAGAUGACGGUACCUGACUAAGAAGCCCCGGCUAACUACGUGCCACCACCCGCGGGACUACCUACGGGGCAAGCGUCAUCCGGAUUUACUGGGUGUAAACGGAGCGCAAACAGAUGUGCACGUCUGAAGUGAAACCCCACGCCUCAACUGCCGCACUGCUUUGCAAACUGUAAAUCUGGAGUAUCACAGAGGCAAGCGGAAUUCCUGGUGUAGCGGUGAAAUGCGUAGAUAUCAGGAAGAACACCGGAGGCGAAGGCGGCUUGCUGGACGAUAACUGACGCUGAGGCGCGAAAGCGUGGGGAGCAAACAGGAUUAGAUACCCUGGUAGUCCACGCUGUAAACGAUGAAUACUAGGUGUGGGAGGACUGACCCCUUCCGUGCCGCAGUUAACACAAUAAGUAUUCCACCUGGGGAGUACGACCGCAAGGUUGAAACUCAAAGGAAUUGACGGGGGCCCGCACAAGCAGUGGAUUAUGUGGUUUAAUUCGACGCAACGCGAAGAACCUUACCAGGGUUUGACAUCCAACUAACGAAGCAGAGAUGCAUUAGGUGCCCUUCGGGGAAAGUUGAGACAGGUGGUGCAUGGUUGUCGUCAGCUCGUGUCGUGAGAUGUUGGGUUAAGUCCCGCAACGAGCGCAACCCCUAUUGUUAGUUGCUACGCAAGAGCACUCUAGCGAGACUGCCGUUGACAAAACGGAGGAAGGCGGGGACGACGUCAAAUCAUCAUGCCCCUUAUAUCCUGGGCUACACACGUAAUACAAUGGUGGUAAACAGAGGGAAGCAAAGCCGCGAGGUGGAGCAAAUCCCUAAAAGCCAUCUCAGUUCGGAUUGCAGGCUGCAACUCGCCUGCAUGAAGCUGGAAUUGCUAGUAAUCGCGGAUCAGCAUGCCGCGGUGAAUACGUUCCCGGGCCUUGCACUCACCGCCCGUCA